ACAAGCCGUGCUCUUUUGUGCCCAAGUAUCUUAGAGCUUUUUGUGUCUGCCACCUGCACCCCUCAUCUGGGCUCCCACUCUCACUGCUCGACCAUUUUCUUGGAAACCCUCUCCCUUUUUAAAAAGAAUCAUCUCCAACAUGACCAGGUCUCUUCUGGAAAUCCCUCCCAAAUUUGGACACUCUUUCUUUUAUGGUCCUCUUGCACUUUGCAUGAACUUCUACUGACUAAGGAACAUUUUAAAAGCCUUUCUCUGUGUUAAUUUUCUCAUCUGAUAAAAGGAAUGAUAAACGGCUUGUCUGUGGUUUUGUGGAGCAAAUGGGUGAGUGUAUCCUAACGCUUAGAAGAACACAACACAAAAUUACGCGUUCGACGCUUAUUGUCAGUGGUGCUUGUUGCGGCAUUGCAUCCCUCUGUAUUGUGUAUAUCUGGUUACUGUUCUUCCCACCCAACACACUAUGAGAAUCCUGCAAACAGAGACCAUACCUUGUGCAUCUCUGACUCCCCAGAUCCCAGUAAGAUGGGGGCACAAACCUGAUGCUCAGACAGCUUGCCGGACAUUGAGUGAGCGAAUAUGAAGGAUUUCCUCUUGCAGGAAGGCACUAGCCGCUCUCCAUCCUUCUGGAAAAAGCCGCUGGGAGGAGGAGACAGGACUGCAAUGGAAGGCAUGCAAACUGGACAGGAGGAAGUGAUUCAACACCCUCCAGUCCUUGCCCACCAAACCACAAAAACCAACACAAACAAGUCUCUGAAAUCUGGUGUGGAUGCUACACUGAUGGCAACUUGCAUUUGGACUGUCCGUGUCUCAAGUGCUCAGUGGCCACACGUGGCCGGACAGUGCGGGUCUGGAGAGCGACCCCUCAGCUCACAGGUCACCCCAUCAGUCUUCCCUGAAGUCCCUAAACAGAAUGGCACGCCACUCCCCUGCCGUUCCUCCAUCACGUCACCCUGUUUAAUUGUUGCAUACGAUAUCACUACCUGCUCGUCUGCUUAUUGUUGUUUAUUUUUAUUUUUAUUGUCUGUCUCCCCCCCCAGAAUGUAAGUCCCCAAAGGCAUUUGCUGCUGCCCCCCAGGCAUAGAGAACAAUGCAUGGGAUGCAGGAGGUGCUCAGAAAACACAACUAUGUGUUGAAUGGGUGAAUGAAUGAAUUCAUCGAAUGAAUGAAUGAAUGAAUGAAUGAAUUCAGUGAAUCUGAAUAAAGGGAUGUCUGAAUCUAAGGCUAAUAGUAAG
rnacentral:lncRNA from 1 species